GGGGGCGCUCGGUUUCGACGGGGUGCUGAAGGUCUUAGGAGCAUGUCAAGGACCAGGUCCUUGUAAAAACUUGGAAAAAAAUAAACGCUAACGAUAGUCAAGAGUUGGCUCUCGCUGCCUAAUUAGCGCAGCGGGCAUCUCCUAAAAAACCCCGCCGUGAGGUGUUUUAGAAAGGUGUAAAAGAUUCCGGCUAGUCAAGCCAGACGCCCUUUCUGGCUGGGCGAAAUCUAAGGGGCUUUUCUCAACUUUAGCCGGUUCUGCGGGCAAAAGGGGAGAGAGACUUAAUCGCAGAGCUAAACAUGUAGAGCCUUAGAUGAUAAGCAUUUCGGACGGGGGUUCGAUUCCCCCCGCCUCCACUC
rnacentral:tmRNA from 1 species